UCUGCCUUUAUCUACUGUCAACUCAUUGGUAUACUAGAUGAAAUGUUUAUGGGAUUUUGUAAGAACAUUGAAGGUAUUGGACAAUUGAGAGUUCGAGAUUUUGCAGUUGAAGAAUUCGUUUCCAUCUCUUCCACUUUGUAUAUAACUAUAUAAUUUCAAUAUAAUUUUGUAAUGGAUUUCAAGUUUGACAAAAUAGUUUGUAUCUAAAUAUGAAACAUUUAAUUAUGCAAUUUUGAUUCUUUUAAUGUGAA